ensembl:lncRNA
UAUUGAGGUUAUGAAGGUUUACAAUCAUGUGAAAGUUCAGUUGUACAUUAUUGUUUGUCAGUCAUAUUGAUAUGAACCGACGUUUCUCCAAAGAAGAUAUACAGAUGGCCAAUAGCCACGUGAAAAGCUACUCAUCAUCACUGACCAUCAGCGAAAUGCAAAUCAAAACUACACUAAGAUAGCACCUUACACCCAUUGGAAUGGCUAAAAUAACCAAAACAAAAAAUAGCAAAUGCUGGAGAAGCUGUGGAGGGAAGGGAACCCUCAUACACUGCUGGUGGGAAUGCAAACUGGUGUAGCCACUAUGGAAAACAGUAUGAAGAUUUCUCAAAAAAUUAAACAUAGUAAUACCAUAUAACCCAGCCAUCCCACUACUAGGUAUCUAUCCAAAGAGCUUGAAGUCAGCAAUUCCAAAAGUCCCAUGCACCCCUAUGUUCAUUGUAGCAUUAUUCACAAUAGCCAAGAUGUGGAAGCAACCCAAGUGCCCAUCGACUGAUGACUACAUAAAGAAGAUAUGAUAUAUAUAUACAAUGGAGUACUUCUCAGCCAUAAAAAGGGAUAAAAUCGUCCCAUUCACAACAACAUGGAUGGACCUUGAGGGUAUUACGUGAAGUGAAAUAAACCAGAUAGAAAAAGACAAUCUCUGUAUGACUCGACUUAUAUAUGGAAGUUAAACAUGUGGACAAAGAGAACAGAUUACAGGGAAAAGGCGGGGUGGGGAGUGAGCACAAAGAGUGAAGUGGUACACCUAAAAUAUAUAUUUACUCUUUUGUGCAACUUUCAUGGUGAUCAUUGCAUGGUCUUUCUAGAAAGUGUUUGUCUAUAGCGUAAUAAACUCUUCCUCUAGUCUUAGGUGUAUUUUCUCUUCAGGGCAUAUUAUUGUAUGCAGCAAAGAGAAGGUAAGUGAGAAGGUGACAAUGACCGUUAACACACGUGGGGAACCCCUAAGUUAAUGCUGGUAAAGAAGUUCCAAUAAGCGGUUCAGGGUCUGUGGCUGGAGCAGGAAGAACCCAGGACUGGAGCCAAAUUACUGCUCAGAUCAGGACUGUUAUUUGAAUAAACAUGUAGCAGCGGUUCUCUGGAGCCCAUCAGAAGUCAGAUUCUGCUGUCCGUUCUGACUCUUGUUUAAAGACGGGACAGCUUUGACGGUAAAAGCCCAUAUCCGUUUCACAACAGUGUAGACAAGCAGCCGUCCUCAGCUCUUACCACAAUCAUUGCUAAUCACUUACAUUAAUCUGAUCAGUGGCCCAGGGAGACUGGAGCGCUGUUAUCAAUCUGAAAUGUAAUAAAAGUUCCAGGUUCAGCCAUUUCCUGCAUUCUUAAAACAAGUGGUGCUGUAGCCAAGGCUUGGCGUGCUGAAGGCAAGGUCACCCACUGCCCGGGUUGCUAAUCCGCUGCUCUGUGUCAGGCCCCCCUCUCACUUGCGGGGUCAGCAGCAUUUGAUCUACCUUCCUCCAGCAGUCUCUCUUUCUCGCCUUUUUGUGUGCAGUGUGCCCUGAACCUGACUGACUUCUGGUGUCCCAGCCUCUCAUAUGGGUAUUGUUGUCGGGUGGUCCCACAGUCUGAAUGAAACCAUCUGUACACGGAUGACUCCCUAUUACCUAUCCCACACCUGGCUUCUGGGCAACAGGCUCAUAGCCCAACUCCCUUCUUUGAUGUCUCCACCUCGAUGGCCAAUGGGCACCUCAGACUUCAGAUGUCCAACGUGACCCAUGAUUGUCCAUGCCUCACCUGGGUGCUCCACCGUAGUAAAUGAUGCCACUCUCUACUCAAAUUGCCUAAGUCCACCUGCAGAUGUAUUCCUGGAUGCUUCUGUCCCUCCAGCGACACAUUAAAUUGAGCGACAAGCCCUGGCAAUGCCAUCUCAAGAAGUUUCCCAACCUCGUCCAUCCCUCCCUCUGUUUAUGGCUACCGUCCCAAGUUAAGCCAUCAUCGUGUCUGCUCUGAACAACGGCCUCGGCCUCCUGAAUGGGCUCUCUGCUUUCACUCCCAGCCUUCUCCAAUUCGUUCCCCCCUCAGCAGUAGGGUGAUGUUCCAACAGGGCAAACCAGGUCUCUCCCUGCUUAAACCCUUCAGUGGUUCUCAAUUGCUCUGAGAAUAAAGUUCACAUGCACGAGCGCAUUAAGGGCUCUGCAAUCUGGAGCCCAUGUCCUCUGCCUCCCCUUAAAAGCUGCCCUUGUU